rnacentral:rRNA from 1 species
CAUGUCUAUUUGUAGGUAUAAAUAGUCCAAUCUGCCCACUGAUAAUUGUAUUAAAGGGCCGCAGUAUUCUAACUGUGCAAAGGUAGCAUAAUCGUUAGUUCUUUAAUUGAGAUCUUGUAUGAAUGAUUAGACAAAAGGAUUGCUGUCUUUAUGAUAAAAAUAGAAUUUAACUUUUAAGUGAAAAGGCUUAAAUUAUUUAGAGUGACGAUAAGACCCUAUAAAGCUUAAUAUUUUAUAAAAAUGUAAAUAAUAUAUAGUUAAUAAAAUUUUAAAUAUUAUGAAUAUUUUAUUGGGGUGAUAGAAGUAAAAUUAAUAUAACUGCUUUAUAUUUAGACAAUUAUAAUUGAUUAUAUUAAAAUGAUCCUGUAGUAUGGAGUACAAGAUUAAGUUACUUUAGGGAUAACAGCGUUAUUUUUUUUGAGAGUUCUUAUCGAAAGAAAAGAUUGCGACCUCGAUGUUGAAUUAAAAUAUCUAUAUAAUUGUAGGAGUUAUAUUAGAAGGUCUGUUCGACCUUUAAAUUUUUACGUGAUUUGAGUUCAGACCGGUUUAAACCAGGUCGGUUUCUAUCUUCUAAUCUAAACUAGUUACUUUA